rnacentral:lncRNA from 1 species
CCCCUCGCUCCGGGCCCAGUGACUCAGCACGUCACGCAGCCUAGCACUUCUCUGCAGGCUGUAGGCGUGCGCUCCGGCUUUUCCGCCUACCGCUGGUACAUUCCACUCAGCCCCCCAUGGCAGCCCACGAUCCACGGUCACCCUUGUCCGGCAGGCUCUAAUCAAGGCCUAAUCCGGCCAUAUACCCUUGCCUCAGCGUCCUCAUCUUUAGGACGAGUCCUGAGUUCAAAUCCCAGCAACCACAUCCGUAAGGAGAUCCGACUCCCUCUUCUGGAGUGUCUGAAGACAGCUACAGUGUACUUACAUAUAGUAAAUAAAUCCUUUAAAAAAAAAAAAAAAGGUUCUGCUGAAUUGAAUACAUGAAUGAAUGAAAGAAGCAAGCGGAUCCGGCGUGAGAAACUCCGCCUCUGCCCUUCAAGUUACUUCCGAACAGAAGCCAGCCAAGGUUCAUCGCAAGUGGCCACACUUGUGUUACAGAGAUGCCAGCA